AACGAACGCUGGCGGCAGGCCUAACACAUGCAAGUCGAGCGAAGCCUUCGGGCUUAGCGGCGGACGGGUGAGUAACGCGUGGGAACGUGCCCUUUGGUACGGAAUAGCCCCGGGAAACUGGGAGUAAUACCGUAUGUGGUCGAGAGACGAAAGAUUUAUCGCCAAAGGAUCGGCCCGCGUUGGAUUAGGUAGUUGGUGGGGUAGUGGCCUACCAAGCCGACGAUCCAUAGCUGGUUUGAGAGGACGAUCAGCCACACUGGGACUGAGACACGGCCCAGACUCCUACGGGAGGCAGCAGUGGGGAAUCUUAGACAAUGGGGGAAACCCUGAUCUAGCCAUGCCGCGUGAUCGAUGAAGGCCUUAGGGUUGUAAAGAUCUUUCAGUGGGGAAGAUAAUGACUGUACCCACAGAAGAAGCCCCGGCUAACUCCGUGCCAGCCGCCGCUGUAACAC
rnacentral:rRNA from 1 species